GGACAUUACCUUGAUCCUCAGCAGUUUAGGUCUUUGUACGAUGAGUGUAGAGGAAGUAUCUACUGUGGUACACUUUUGGACAAAAAACCACCGUAGAUAUGAAACGAGGAGAUGUAUCUCCUUCAUUGAGCCUCUUCCCUCCAUCUACUGAAGAAUUAGCAACAAAUAAAGCCACAGUUGUGUGUCUGGCUGACAGCUACUUCCCAAAAGGUGGCAAGACGACGUUGAAGGCGGACUCAAAGGUUUUAAGCAGUGAAAAUCAUGAAACCAAGAAUGCGGAUGGUACCUACAGUUUGAGCAGUAUGGCCUAUCUCACCAAGGAUCAGUUCAAAGGGUAUUCACUAAUCUCAUGUGAGGUGACGCAUAGCACUCUGUCCCCAUCGAUUACCAAAAGCUUCAAGACGGCAGAGUGUACAGCCUAAACAGGCCUUAGUAAGUUCCCUCCCUAAACUAGGAGACUUUUUCCCCCCUGUUCUUCUAUUUAAUGCAAUCUGUGCUACAUGUCGAUUUACAACAUAAUACGUGUUACAUAUGCCAUGUGAUCGAAUGCAGCAAAACACAACUUUUUGUAUGAUUGUAAAUCUUCCUAUUAUGUCCUAAGAAAAUAAUAAUUGUUUUCUGCUUCUUUUCUUGUUAUGUCUAAAAAAUUAAUAAAAAAUAUUCUGC